rnacentral:rRNA from 1 species
ACUCCUACGGGAGGCAGCAGUGGGGAAUAUUGCACAAUGGGCGCAAGCCUGAUGCAGCCAUGCCGCGUGUAUGAAGAAGGCCUUCGGGUUGUAAAGUACUUUCAGCAGUGAGGAAGGCAGGUUCGUUAAUAGCGUGCUUGUUUGACGUUAGCUGCAGAAGAAGCACCGGCUAACUCCGUGCCAGCAGCCGCGGUAAUACGGAGGGUGCGAGCGUUAAUCGGAAUUACUGGGCGUAAAGCGCAUGCAGGUGGUUCGUUAAGUCAGAUGUGAAAGCCCGGGGCUCAACCUCGGAAUUGCAUUUGAAACUGGCGGACUAGAGUACUGUAGAGGGGGGUAGAAUUUCAGGUGUAGCGGUGAAAUGCGUAGAGAUCUGAAGGAUACCGGUGGCGAAGGCGGCCCCCUGGACAGAUACUGACACUCAGAUGCGAAAGCGUGGGGAGCAAACAGGAUUAGAUACCCUGGUAGGAUAGCG